rnacentral:misc_RNA from 1 species
UCUCUCUCUCUCUCUCUCACUCAUUAGUUUUAUAUCUAAGCUAGUUGACAAGCAACUUACAUCAUAACUAAACAAAUCUCUAUCGCACAUCAUAAAAAUUUUAAUUUAUUCACCUUCCUUAAAAAAAAAGAAAAUAAAUUCAUCAAAAUGGAAAGAAAAUGUUUGGCUAGCUCACUAAAACUAAAAAAUAUAUUUAAAAACUCCAAUAUGAAUGGAAGGCAUAUUAAAUGUGCUAUGAUGCUUGCAAAUUCAAUCGCAAGGAUUUCUUUAAAAAUCAGAAGCAUUUGUUUGUUUUGUCUCCUCUCCAUCAAUCAGCUCAAUCAACUUGUAGCCAGAAGGCAUCCUCAACUGACAAAAUUAGAAAAAUCAUAACAAAAAGGCUAGAAAUGUUGAAUCUCAUCUAGUAUAGUGAUAUUAUGCCUCCUAUAAGUCAAGUUCCAGUCAGACUACUUGAAUGAACAUUAGAGAAAACCAAAUACCUGAGAAUCCCGCAUUUUCGACUUGAGCUGUUGAAUUUCGUGAUUCACCUCAGCCUUCCUUUCAAAAUUUCUGAUCUGAUUCACAUCUUGAGACUUGUGCAGUGGAUGAGCACGUAACUUCCUUUCCAGUUCCUCAAUUUGG